UACGAAGGGUGCAAGCGUUACUCGGAAUCACUGGGCGUAAAGCGUGCGUAGGCGGUUUCUUAAGUCUGUCGUGAAAGCCCUGGGCUCAACCUGGGAAUGGCGAUGGAUACUGGGAGCUAGAGUGUGAUAGAGGAUGGUGGAAUUCCCGGUGUAGCGGUGAAAUGCGUAGAGAUCGGGAGGAACACCAGUGGCGAAGGCGGCCAUCUGGAUCAACACUGACGCUGAGGCACGAAAGCGUGGGGAGCAAACAGGG
rnacentral:rRNA from 1 species